AUCCCUCAGUUCAUAAGUAUGAUGAUUGGGUGUUCACCCUAUUGUGUGAGAUGUGCCUCCCUCUAAACCUUGUUAUGACAUCAGCACAUUAAUCAUUUACU